rnacentral:rRNA from 1 species
AUUGAACGCUGGCGGCAGGCCUAACACAUGCAAGUCGAGCGGUAGAGAGGUGCUUGCAUCUCUUGAGAGCGGCGGACGGGUGAGUAAUGCCUAGGAAUCUGCCUAGUGGUGGGGGAUAACGUUCGGAAACGGACGCUAAUACCGCAUACGUCCUACGGGAGAAAGCGGGGGAUCUUCGGACCUCGCGUCAUUAGAUGAGCCUAGGUCGGAUUAGCUAGUUGGUGAGGUAAUGGCUCACCAAGGCGACGAUCCGUAACUGGUCUGAGAGGAUGAUCAGUCACACUGGAACUGAGACACGGUCCAGACUCCUACGGGAGGCAGCAGUGGGGAAUAUUGGACAAUGGGCGAAAGCCUGAUCCAGCCAUGCCGCGUGUGUGAAGAAGG